rnacentral:rRNA from 1 species
GAUGAACGCUGACAGAAUGCUUAACACAUGCAAGUCAACUUGAACUUCAGUUUGGGUGGCGGACGGGUGAGUAACGCGUAAAGAACUUGCCUCACAGAUAGGGACAACAUUUGGAAACGAAUGCUAAUACCUGAUAUUAUGAUUUUAGGGCAUCCUAAGAUUAUGAAAGCUAUAUGCGCUGUGAGAGAGCUUUGCGUCCCAUUAGCUAGUUGGAGAGGUAACGGCUCACCAAGGCGAUGAUGGGUAGCCGGCCUGAGAGGGUGAUCGGCCACAAGGGGACUGAGACACGGCCCUUACUCCUACGGGAGGCAGCAGUGGGGAAUAUUGGACAAUGGACCAAGAGUCUGAUCCAGCAAUUCUGUGUGCACGAUGAAGUUUUUCGGAAUGUAAAGUGCUUUCAGUNGGGAAGAAAAAAANGA